rnacentral:rRNA from 2 species
UGAGUUUGAUCCUGGCUCAGGAUGAACGCUAGCGGGAGGCCUAACACAUGCAAGCCGAGCGGUAUUUGUCCUUCGGGACAGAGAGAGCGGCGCACGGGUGCGGAACACGUGUGCAACCUGCCUUUAUCUGGGGGAUAGCCUUUCGAAAGGAAGAUUAAUACCCCAUAAUAUAUAGAGUGGCAUCACUUUGUAUUGAAAGCUCCGGCGGAUAGAGAUGGGCACGCGCAAGAUUAGAUAGUUGGUAGGGUAACGGCCUACCAAGUCGAUGAUCUUUAGGGGGCCUGAGAGGGUGAUCCCCCACACUGGUACUGAGACACGGACCAGACUCCUACGGGAGGCAGCAGUGAGGAAUAUUGGACAAUGGGUGAGAGCCUGAUCCAGCCAUCCCGCGUGAAGGACGACUGCCCUAUGGGUUGUAAACUUCUUUUGUACAGGGAUAAACCUUUCCACGUGUGGGAAGUUGAAGGUACUGUACGAAUAAGCACCGGCUAACUCCGUGCCAGCAGCCGCGGUAAUACGGAGGGUGCAAGCGUUAUCCGGAUUUAUUGGGUUUAAAGGGUCCGUAGGCGGGCCUGUAAGUCAGUGGUGAAAUCUCACAGCUCAACUGUGAAACUGCCAUUGAUACUGCAGGCCUUGAGUGAAUUUGAAGUGGCUGGAAUAAGUAGUGUAGCGGUGAAAUGCAUAGAUAUUACUUAGAACACCGAUUGCGAAGGCAGGUCACUAAGAUUCAACUGACGCUGAUGGACGAAAGCGUGGGGAGCGAACAGGAUUAGAUACCCUGGUAGUCCACGCCGUAAACGAUGCUAACUCGUUUUUGGGCUUUCGGGCUCAGAGACUAAGCGAAAGUGAUAAGUUAGCCACCUGGGGAGUACGUUCGCAAGAAUGAAACUCAAAGGAAUUGACGGGGGCCCGCACAAGCGGUGGAUUAUGUGGUUUAAUUCGAUGAUACGCGAGGAACCUUACCAAGGCUUAAAUGGGAAAUGACAGGCUUAGAAAUAGGCUUUUCUUCGGACAUUUUCCAAGGUGCUGCAUGGUUGUCGUCAGCUCGUGCCGUGAGGUGUUAGGUUAAGUCCUGCAACGAGCGCAACCCCUGUCACUAGUUGCCAUCAUUCAGUUGGGGACUCUAGUGAGACUGCCUACGCAAGUAGAGAGGAAGGUGGGGAUGACGUCAAAUCAUCACGGCCCUUACGCCUUGGGCCACACACGUAAUACAAUGGCCGGUACAGAGGGCAGCUACACAGCGAUGUGAUGCAAAUCUCGAAAGCCGGUCUCAGUUCGGAUUGGAGUCUGCAACUCGACUCUAUGAAGCUGGAAUCGCUAGUAAUCGCGCAUCAGCCAUGGCGCGGUGAAUACGUUCCCGGGCCUUGUACACACCGCCCGUCAAGCCAUGGAAGUCUGGGGUACCCUGAAGUCGGUGACCGUAACAGGAGCUGCCUAGGGUAAAACAGGUAACUAGGGCUAAGUCGUAACAAGGGUAACCGUA